AGAGUUUGAUCCUGGCUCAGGACGAACGCUGGCGGCGUGCCUAAUACAUGCAAGUAGAACGCUGAAGGAGGAGCUUGCUUCUCUGGAUGAGUUGCGAACGGGUGAGUAACGCGUAGGUAACCUGCCUGGUAGCGGGGGAUAACUAUUGGAAACGAUAGCUAAUACCGCAUAAGAGUGGAUGUUGCAUGACAUUUGCUUAAAAGGUGCACUUGCAUCACUACCAGAUGGACCUGCGUUGUAUUAGCUAGUUGGUGGGGUAACGGCUCACCAAGGCGACGAUACAUAGCCGACCUGAGAGGGUGAUCGGCCACACUGGGACUGAGACACGGCCCAGACUCCUACGGGAGGCAGCAGUAGGGAAUCUUCGGCAAUGGACGGAAGUCUGACCGAGCAACGCCGCGUGAGUGAAGAAGGUUUUCGGAUCGUAAAGCUCUGUUGUAAGAGAAGAACGAGUGUGAGAGUGGAAAGUUCACACUGUGACGGUAUCUUACCAGAAAGGGACGGCUAACUACGUGCCAGCAGCCGCGGUAAUACGUAGGUCCCGAGCGUUGUCCGGAUUUAUUGGGCGUAAAGCGAGCGCAGGCGGUUAGAUAAGUCUGAAGUUAAAGGCUGUGGCUUAACCAUAGUAGGCUUUGGAAACUGUUUAACUUGAGUGCAAGAGGGGAGAGUGGAAUUCCAUGUGUAGCGGUGAAAUGCGUAGAUAUAUGGAGGAACACCGGUGGCGAAAGCGGCUCUCUGGCUUGUAACUGACGCUGAGGCUCGAAAGCGUGGGGAGCAAACAGGAUUAGAUACCCUGGUAGUCCACGCUGUAAACGAUGAGUGCUAGGUGUUAGACCCUUUCCGGGGUUUAGUGCCGUAGCUAACGCAUUAAGCACUCCGCCUGGGGAGUACGACCGCAAGGUUGAAACUCAAAGGAAUUGACGGGGGCCCGCACAAGCGGUGGAGCGUGUGGUUUAAUUCGAAGCAACGCGAAGAACCUUACCAGGUCUUGACAUCCCUCUGACCGCUCUAGAGAUAGAGCUUUCCUUCGGGACAGAGGUGACAGGUGGUGCAUGGUUGUCGUCAGCUCGUGUCGUGAGAUGUUGGGUUAAGUCCCGCAACGAGCGCAACCCCUAUUGUUAGUUGCCAUCAUUUAGUUGGGCACUCUAGCGAGACUGUCGGUAAUAAACCGGAGGAAGGUGGGGAUGACGUCAAAUCAUCAUGCCCCUUAUGACCUGGGCUACACACGUGCUACAAUGGCUGGUACAACGAGUCGCAAGCCGGUGACGGCAAGCUAAUCUCUUAAAGCCAGUCUCAGUUCGGAUUGUAGGCUGCAACUCGCCUACAUGAAGUCGGAAUCGCUAGUAAUCGCGGAUCAGCACGCCGCGGUGAAUACGUUCCCGGGCCUUGUACACACCGCCCGUCACACCACGAGAGUUUGUAACACCCGAAGUCGGUGAGGUAACCGUAAGGAGCCAGCCGCCUAAGGUGGGAUAGAUGAUUGGGGUGAAGUCGUAACAAGGUAGCCGUAUCGGAAGGUGCGGCUGGAUCACCU
rnacentral:rRNA from 1 species